AGCUACUUCAUGGGUUGCUGAAAACAGUUGACAAAUCAAAAAGAAAGCUAACAGUAAACCACAAGAGUUACUAAUUUGAGAAUUGACCAAAACCUCUUAUGUCAAGAGCUCAUGGCAAUAUAAUCUCAGAAUUCCUUCCUUUCCUCAGCUUUGACUUUUCUUCCUUCCUUCCUUCCUUCCUUCCUUCCUUCCUUCCGUCCGUCCGUCCGUCCGUCUGUCCUUUGACUGGCAAAUUCUGCCUUGGACAUGCCUUAUGUCAGAGUGAUCUUCCCACCUAUUAUGCUUGGAAAUUACAAAGGUCAGUUUUUAAUUCCUGACUUUUUGCCUGGUUGUCUGCAGACAUAUGUUAGGUAGAGAUGAUAGGUCAUACUAUCUGGCAAACAGCUCAGUCAAUCUUCCCCACAGUUGGAAAUCACCAGAACAGAAUGGUAUCUCUUGCUCUCUCCUAGGCACCCCCAACAAAGAUGGAAGCAUGGGUAUUGAAAGUUACAUAUGGAGAGGAGUGCAUUAGCAGGAUACAGCCUAGUCACAAUCUCCUUUCCACAAACCCCUUUCCAUUGACUGUGUUUCCAUUUCUUCCACUGGUCAACUGGAUUUUCCCCUUCACUUGCUGUGAAAGAAGUAAGGAAAUAAGCCUUCAAAUCCACAGUUAUGCCAGAGGAGUUGGCAACAGUUCGUUCCCCACCAAUGCUAAUCCUUUACCUGCACAUUGGCCCCAGCUACCUCAUGCAUUAUACAUGCAUGAAUUGAGCUGGAGUCAAGG
ensembl:lncRNA